rnacentral:rRNA from 1 species
UGGGGAAUUGUUCGCAAUGGGCGCAAGCCUGACGACGCAACGCCGCGUGGAGGAUGAAGGUCUUCGGAUUGUAAACUCCUGUCGAACGGGACGAACACCUUUUCAGUUAACACCUGGAGAGGCUGACGGUACCGUGAGAGGAAGCCCCGGCUAACUCUGUGCCAGCAGCCGCGGUAAUACAGAGGGGGCAAGCGUUGUUCGGAAUUACUGGGCGUAAAGGGCGCGUAGGCGGCCUUCUAAGUCAGACGUGAAAUCCCUCGGCUCAACCGGGGAACUGCGUCUGAGACUGGAAGGCUUGAAUCCGGGAGAGGGAUGUGGAAUUCCAGGUGUAGCGGUGAAAUGCGUAGAUAUCUGGAGGAACACCGGUGGCGAAGGCGGCAUCCUGGACCGGUAUUGACGCUGAGGCGCGAAAGCCAGGGGAGCAAA